UACGUAGGGUGCAGGCGUUAAUCGGAAUUACUGGGCGUAAAGCGUGCGCAGGCGGUUUGUUAAGACAGAUGUGAAAUCCCCGGGCUUAACCUGGGAAUGGCAUUUGGGACUGCAAGGCUCGAGUGCGGCAGAGGAGACUGGAAUUCCUGGUGUAGCAGUGAAAUGCGUAGAUAUCGUUUGGAACGCCAACGGUGAAAACAGCUCGCUGGGGUGUGCUGACGCUGAGACACGAAGCCAGGGAGCGAACGGG
rnacentral:rRNA from 1 species